rnacentral:tRNA from 1 species
GAGUGUGUAGCUCAAUGGUAGAGCACUUAACUGGCAUGUACAAGGCCCUGGGUUCAAUCCCCAGUACCA